rnacentral:lncRNA from 1 species
UUGCCCCAAGGUGUUAUUAUAUGUAAUAUUUUUGGAAAAUGGCAUGAGACAGUUAACGAGCUUAUUUUGGUUUAGAAAUUUCCUUCUGCCCAAAGGUGUUGGUGUUUUGAAAAUCAGUGUAAUUUUGUUAACUGGUUACAUGAUGUGUUUUAAGAGUACCUUAUAGCAUGUUGUAUUGUCGACCCGAAGGUGAUUUUAUGAUGAUGCACCUAGGCUCUUACCGUAAUAAAAUUCAUAUGUUUCGAUUUAAAUUACGGAUUAUCUAAUUAAUAGCCC